CGUAGGGUGCAAGCGUUAAUCGGAAUUACUGGGCGUAAAGCGUGCGCAGGCGGUUUUGUAAGUCUGAUGUGAAAUCCCCGGGCUCAACCUGGGAAUUGCAUUGGAGACUGCAAGGCUAGAAUCUGGCAGAGGGGGGUAGAAUUCCACGUGUAGCAGUGAAAUGCGUAGAUAUGUGGAGGAACACCGAUGGCGAAGGCAGCCCCCUGGGUCAAGAUUGACGCUCAUGCACGAAAGCGUGGGAGCAAACAGGAUU
rnacentral:rRNA from 1 species